ACACCUGGAAACAAGAUUGCUAAUACCGGAUAACAACACUAGACGCAUGUCUAGAGUUUGAAAGAUGGUUCUGCUAUCACUCUUGGAUGGACCUGCGGUGCAUUAGCUAGUUGGUAAGGUAACGGCUUACCCUAAGGCAAUGAUGCAUAGCCGAGUUGUAGAGACUGAUCGGCCACAUUGGGACGUGAGACACGGCCCAAAACCUACCUACGGGAGGGCAGCAGUAGGGAAUCUUCCACAAUGGACGAAAGUCUGAUGGAGCAACGCCGCGUGAGUGAAGAAGGGUUUCGGCUCGUAAAGCUCUGUUGGUAGUGAAGAAAGAUAGAGGUAGUAACUGGCCUUUAUUUGACGGUAAUUACUUAGAAAGUCACGGCUAACUACGUGCCAGCAGCCGCGGUAA
rnacentral:rRNA from 1 species